AACGAACGCUGGCGGCGUGCCUAACACAUGCAAGUCGAACGGAAAGGCCCUGCUUUUGUGGGGUGCUCGAGUGGCGAACGGGUGAGUAACCCGUGAGUACCCUGUCCUUGUCUUUGGGAUAACUUCAGGCAACUGGGGCUAAUACCGGAUAGGAGCUCCUGCUGAAUGGUGGGGGUUGGUAAGUUUCGGUGGUUGGGGAUGGAAUCGCGGCUUAUCGGAUUGAUGUGUGGGUAGUGGCUUACCAAGGCUUGGACCGGUAGCAGGCCUGGGAGGGGGACCGGACACAUUAGGACUGAGAUACGGCCCAGACUCCAACGGGAGGGAACAGAGGGGAAGAUUGCACAAUGGGCGGAAGCCUGAUGCAGCAUCGCCGCGUGGGGGAUGACGGCCUGCGGGUAGGAAACCGCUUUCGCCUGUGACGAAGCGUGAGUGACGGUAAUAGGUAAAGAAGCACCGGCUAACUACGUG
rnacentral:rRNA from 1 species